CGUGUCACCGGCUUUUUCCUUGACAGGAAAGUUCGCAGACACACGAUGGCACGCAACACGUUGUUUUUAACAAACUUCAAGAUCUUUUCAAGGACAGCAGCCCGAAUUCAAGGCAAGUGACAAAGUAGAUGCAGCAGGGCCUUACCAGACAAACCAGUGGAGCCAGUGACCGAAUCAACCAGUUUACAAAUUAAAGAGCUGGGGGCUACUCAGAAAAGAAGAAACAGGAGAUGGGUCUCAGAUAGAGAGUGUCAUAGUUCUGUGUUUUAAAAAAUAGUCAGACAUUUUUGGUGAUUUAUGUAUAGUCAGUGAAUCAUUUUUCAAUGAUUAUAAAACUUUAUUGUUUAA